UACGGAGGGGGCUAGCGUUGUUCGGAAUUACCGGGCGUAAAGCGCGUGUAGGCUGACCGGAAAGUCAAACGUGAAAACCCUGGGCUCAACCCAGGAACUGCACUCGAAACUCCCGGUCUAGAAUGGUAGAGAGGGAAGUGGAAUUCCUGAUGUAGAGGUGAAAUUCGUAGAUAUCAGAAGGAACACCAGUAGCGAAGGCAACUUCCUGGACACCAACUGACGCUGAGACGCGAAAGCGUGGAGAGCAAACAGG
rnacentral:rRNA from 1 species